AGCCAUGGCCAUAUCACCCUGUAGCUCAAGACAGGUUAUUCACUGAAGUUAAGCAGGGCUGAGCCUGGUCAGUACAAGGAUGAGAGACCAGACAGGAAAACUAGGUUGCUGUUGGAA
ensembl:rRNA 5S_rRNA 5S ribosomal RNA